rnacentral:rRNA from 1 species
UACGGGGGGGGGCAAGCGUUGUUCGGAAUUACUGGGCGUAAAGGGCUCGUAGGCGGCCAACUAAGUCGGAUGUGAAAUCCCCAGGCUUAACCUGGGAACUGCAUCCGAUACUGGAUGGCUUGAAUCCGGGAGAGGGAUGCAGAAUUCCAGGUGUAGCGGUGAAAUGCGUAGAUAUCUGGAGGAAUACCGGUGGCGAAGGCGGCAUCCUGGACCGGCAUUGACGCUGAGUGAGCGAAAGCGUGGGGAGCAAACAGG